AUGGAUCACGGCCUUCGAAUCAUUAACUGGAACGUCCGCGGCCUAAAGGCCCGCGCCAGGCGUACUGCCAUCCGCUCACUUGUUGUAACCUCCAGCGCUACGAUCGCUUGCUUCCAGGAAACAAAGAUGGAGUUUAUCUACUCGUCAACGGUCCUCGAGACGUUGGGGUCAGAGUUUGACGACUACGUCUACCUCCCUGCGAGCGGCACCCGUGGCGGGAUCUUGUUGGCUUGGAAGAGUCGGACGUGUCGAUCACGGACCCGAUGUUCACCACCAACACUCUCUCCGUCCGGGUGGCGACUCCCGAUGGCUCCAGCGUGCCCUGGUGGCUCACCAUUUUCUACGGGCCCCAAGAUGACCAUGGCAAGACCGCGUUCCUUCAGGAAAUCCGUGACGCGCGUGUCGCCUGCACCGGACCAUGGCUCGUCUGCGGCGACUUCAACCUAA
rnacentral:rRNA from 1 species